rnacentral:rRNA from 1 species
AACGUAGGAGACGAACGUUAUCCGGAGUUACUGGGCGUAAAGGGCGUGUAGGCGGUUUGUUAAGUCUGGCGUGAAAGCUCUCGGCUAAACCGGGAGAGGUCGUUGGAUACUGGCGAACUAGAGGAUGGUAGAGGCGUGUGGAAUUCCGGGUGUAGUGGUGAAAUGCGUAGGGAUCCGGAGGAACACCAGUGGCGAAGGCGACACGCUGGGCCGUACCUGACACUGAUACGCGACAGCAUGGGGAGCGAACGGG